UAGGGAAUCUUCGGCAAUGGACGGAAGUCUGACCGAGCAACGCCGCGUGAGUGAAGAAGGUUUUCGGAUCGUAAAGCUCUGUUGUAAGAGAAGAACGAGCGUGAGAGUGGAAAGUUCACACUGUGACGGUAUCUUACCAGAAAGGGACGGCUAACUACGUGCCAGCAGCCGCGGUAAUACGUAGGUCCCGAGCGUUGUCCGGAUUUAUUGGGCGUAAAGCGAGCGCAGGCGGUUAGAUAAGUCUGAAGUUAAAGGCUGUGGCUUAACCAUAGUACGCUUUGGAAACUGUUUAACUUGAGUGCAAGAGGGGAGAGUGGAAUUCCAUGUGUAGCGGUGAAAUGCGUAGAUAUAUGGAGGAACACCGGUGGCGAAAGCGGCUCUCUGGCUUGUAACUGACGCUGAGGCUCGAAAGCGUGGGGAGCAAACAGGAUUAGAUACCCUGGUAGUCCACGCCGUAAACGAUGAGUGCUAGGUGUUAGACCCUUUCCGGGGUUUAGUGCCGUAGCUAACGCAUUAAGCACUCCGCCUGGGGAGUACGACCGCAAGGNU
rnacentral:rRNA from 1 species